CUCGGCCCCCGGUGGUGGCGGGAGAGCGGCUCCCUGGCUUCACUCGGCGGCAGCUUCUCGGGUGACCAAGAGCCCGGGGAGCGGAUCCGCUGAGCCCGGCUGCAGACUCGUUAGCAGCGAGGCUUUAAAUACAAAAGUGGGCCGGGAGCCCCCGCGUGGUGCCGCGGUGCCCCCUCAUUAUGCAUGCAUGGAAAAGCAAACAAACAAAAACAUUAGCAACGCUCCUCCGGCUCGCCGAGCCCCGGCCCCGCGCGCUCCGAGCCUGCCCGCUUUC
rnacentral:lncRNA from 1 species